rnacentral:lncRNA from 1 species
UUCUGUACGAAAACGUUUGGCAAAACAGCUUCUCCUAGCUUUUUGAAUGUAAAGAAGAUGUCAAAUGUCCAAAAUACCCUUAUAUUUUUUUUCUCUCUUUUCUUUUUCUUUUUUCUCUUCAUUUUCUUUUUCUUUUUCUUUCCUUUUUUAUUUCUCUUUCCUCCCCCCUCUUUUCUUUUCCCCUCCUCUCCCUCCUCUCUC